rnacentral:rRNA from 1 species
AACGAACGCUGGCGGCAUGCCUAACACAUGCAAGUCGAACGAGACCUUCGGGUCUAGUGGCGCACGGGUGCGUAACGCGUGGGAACCUGCCCUUAGGUUCGGAAUAACUCCCCGAAAGGGGUGCUAAUACCGGAUAAUGUCUUCGGACCAAAGAUUUAUCGCCUUUGGAUGGGCCCGCGUUGGAUUAGCUAGUUGGUAGGGUAAAAGCCUACCAAGGCGACGAUCCAUAGCUGGUCUGAGAGGAUGAUCAGCCACACUGGGACUGAGACACGGCCCAGACGCCUACGGGAGGCAGCAGUGGGGAAUAUUGGAAGAUGGGCGAAAGCCGGAUCCAGCAAUGCCGCGUGAGUGAUGAAGGCCUUAGGGUUGUAAAGCUCUUUUACCCGGGAUGAUAAUGACAGUACCGGGAGAAUAAGCUCCGGCUACUCCGUG